AUACGGAGGGUGCAAGCGUUACUCGGAAUCACUGGGCGUAAAGCGCGCGCAGGCGGUGUGAUAAGUUGGAUGUGAAAUCCUAUGGCUCAACCAUAGAACUGCAUCCAAAACUGUCAAACUAGAGUCUGGGAGAGGAAGAUGGAAUUAGUUGUGUAGGGGUAAAAUCCGUAGAGAUAACUAGGAAUACCAAAAGCGAAGGCGAUCUUCUGGAACAGUACUGACGCUGAGGCGCGAAAGCGUGGGGAGCAAACAGGAUUAGAUACCCUAGUAGUCC
rnacentral:rRNA from 1 species